rnacentral:rRNA from 1 species
GAUGAACGCUGGCGGCGUGCCUAAUACAUGCAAGUCGAGCGAACAGACGCGGAGCUUGCUCCUUCGACGUUAGCGGCGGACGGGUGAGUAACACGUAGGUAACCUACCUAUAAGACUGGGAUAACUUCGGGAAACCGGAGCUAAUACCGGCUAAUAUUUCGAACCGCAUGGUUCGAUAGUGAAAGAUGGCUUUGCUAUCACUUAUAGAUGGACCUGCGCCGUAGUAGCUAGUUGGUAAGGUAACGGCUUACCAAGGCAACGAUACGUAGCCGACCUGAGAGGAGGAGCAGGCACACUGGAACGGAGACACGGGCCAGAAGACGAAGGGAGGCAGCAGGGGGGAAUAGUGGACAAUGGGCGCAAGCCUGAACCAGCCAUAACGCGUGGGUGAAGAAGGCCUUCGGGUUGGAAAGCCCUGUUGGUGGGAAAGAAAAGCAGCAGGGUAAGACCCCGCUGUGCGGACGGUACACAAAGAAGAAGCACCGGCUAACUUCGUG